UUCAGUGCUUGCUUUGAUCUACUAAAAAUUGGAAAUGAUAUAGAGAAGAUCAGCACGGUACCUGAGCCAGAAUGGCACGCAAAUUCGUGAAGUGUUCCAUAUUUUU
rnacentral:snRNA from 1 species